rnacentral:rRNA from 1 species
GACGAACGCUGGCGGCGUGCUUAACACAUGCAAGUCGAGCGGUAAGGCCCUUUCGGGGGUACGACGAGCGGCGAACGGGUGAGUAACACGUGGGUGACCUGCCCUCAGCUCUGGGAUAAGCCUGGGAAACCGGGUCUAAUACCGGAUAUGACUCCAUGACGCAUGUUGUGGGGUGGAAAGCCUUGUGCGGCUGAGGAUGGGCCCGCGGCCUAUCAGCUUGUUGGUGGGGUGAUGGCCUACCAAGGCGACGACGGGUAGCCGGCCUGAGAGGGCGACCGGCCACACUGGGACUGAGACACGGCCCAGACUCCUACGGGAGGCAGCAGGUGGGGAGUAUUGGACAAUGGGCGCAAGCCUGAUCCAGCGAUGCCGCGUGUGUGAAGAAGGCCUGCGGGUUGUAAAGCACUUUCAGUAGGGAAGAAAAGCGAUGCUAAUAUCAUUCGGUCUUGACGUUACUUACAGAAGAAGCACCGGCUAACUCCGUGCCAGCAGCCGGCGGUAAG